rnacentral:lncRNA from 1 species
AAGGACUUGAGCAUAAGCAGUUGUGGGUGUGUGCUGACACAGGCAUCAUUACUACCUUUGUCUCCAUGUGAUAGUGGUGGAAUAUGCUAUACAAAUCUAUGAAAACGGUACGCUCAAUGUGAAUAUUUCAUCUGUGGUAAAAAAUUAUACUGAAGAAUAAGUGAUUAUUAUGUCAACACAUUACUGAUAUAAUCAAGGUGGACUAAAACAUUCAAACUGAAAUCCUUGAAAAAUAAUGUUUCAGAUUUGACCUUGCUGAAAUCAAUUAAAAUCAGAGGCAACAUUUGCAAUGGCUGCAGGAGAGCUAGGAGUCUUCUACAUCUUCUACUUGGGUGCAAUUGGAGUGAGAGACCAACUCAUUUGGCUCCCACACCUAGAAAGAUGGGCUGGUAUGUAAGCUGUGAAAUGAGCAAGGCAGAUUGUCAACUAGUAAAGUACACAUGGAUAUGUAUACACAUAUUCUUACACAGUGCAGGAAAAUCAGGAAAAGGAUUUGCAACCAUUGAACUUUUAGUAAGUAUUGCAUCAUGUAUUCUAAGUACUGGUUCAAAAAAAAAAAAAAAAACUUGAGCAUAGUCAUUCCUGUGCUUCUUAUCAAA